AGUACUGUAACUAUGGAACUAGAGCUAGCCUUCAGUAACGCUAUUACUGUGCAAGCCACAGACAUCAUUUGGAUCGUUUUCAUGUAAAUACAUAGUCACUGAUAUGGUCAUAACCACUACAGUGGUCAAUUACCUAUUUUUGAGGGAGAAAUAAAC